rnacentral:rRNA from 1 species
UAGGGAAUAUUGCGCAAUGGGGGAAACCCUGACGCAGCAACGCCACGUGAGUGAGGAAGGCCUUCGGGUUGUAAAGCUCUGUCAUUAGGGAAAAAUGGUCACGCAGGUAAUAUUUGUGUGAUUUGAUGGUACCUAAGGAGGAAGCACCGGCUAACUUCGUGCCAGCAGCCGCGGUAAUACGAAGGGUGCAAGCGUUGUUCGGAUUUAUUGGGCGUAAAGCGCGCGCAGGCGGCUUGAAAAGUCAGAUGUGAAAUCUCGGGGCUCAACUCCGAAACUGCGUCUGAAACUCUCAAGCUAGAGUCAUGGAGGGGAAAGGGGAAUUUCACGUGUAGGGGUAAAAUCCGUAGAGAUGUGAAGGAACACCUGAGGCGAAGGCGCCUUUCUGGCCAUGUACUGACGC